rnacentral:rRNA from 1 species
ACGAACGCUGGCGGCGUGGAUAAGACAUGCAAGUCGAACGGAGCAUUUUGGUAGCAAUAUCGAAAUGCUCAGUGGCAAACGGGUGCGUAACACGUAGGUUACAUUCCGGAAAGUGUGGGAUAGCCCAGGGAAACUUGGAUUAAUACCGCAUGUGAUCGCAAGAUCAAAGGCGAAAGCCGCUUUCCGAUUGGCCUGCGCCCUAUCAGCUAGUUGGUGAGGUAAUGGCUCACCAAGGCUACGACGGGUAGCUGGUCUGAGAGGACGACCAGCCACACUGGAACUGAGACACGGUCCAGACACCUACGGGUGGCAGCAGUCGAGAAUCUUUCACAAUGGGGGCAACCCUGAUGGAGCGACGCCGCGUGGAGGAUAAGGUCUUCGGAUUGUAAACUCCUGUCAUGCGAGAGCAAGGCAUAGCAAUAUGUUUGAUAGUAUCGCAAGAGGAAGAGACGGCUAACUCUGUGCCAGCAGCCGCGGUAAUACAGAGGUCUCAAGCGUUGUUCGGAAUCACUGGGCGUAAAGGGUGCGUAGGCGGCGGAGUAAGUCGGAUGUGAAAUUUGAGGGCUUAACCCUCAACGUGCAUCUGAUACUGCUUUGCUAGAGGCCUGAAGAGGAGCUUGGAAUUCUUGGUGUAGCAGUGAAAUGCGUAGAUCUCAAGAAGAACGCUCGCAGCGAAAGCGAAGCUCUGGUCAGGAUCUGACGCUGAGGCACGAAGGCUAGGGGAGCAAACGGGAUUAGAUAGCCCCGGUAGUCCUAGCUGUAAACGGUGCGCGUUUGGUGUUGGCAAGUUAGACCUUGUCAGUGCCGGAGCUAACGCGUUAAAACGCGCCGCCUGGGAAGUACGAUCGCAAGAUUAAAACUCAAAGAAAUUGGCGGGGACCCGCACAAGCGGUGGAGUAUGUGGCUUAAUUCGAUGCAACGCGAAGAACCUUACCUGGAUUUGACAUGCAUUGGGUCUCCGAUGAAAGUCGGAUACUGUUGAAACAUACAGGCUUUGCACAGGUGCUGCAUGGCUGUCGUCAGCUCGUGUCGUGAGAUGUUGGGUUAAGUCCCGCAACGAGCGCAACCCUCGUGGUUUGUUGCCACCGGAUUUAUUUCCGAGCACUCAAACCAUACUGCCCAGAUUAACUGGGAGGAAGGCGAGGAUGACGUCAAGUCAGUAUGGCCCUUACAUCCAGGGCUGCACACGUACUUCAAUGCCCAACACAAAUAGAUCCUAGUCCGCAAGGAGGAGGAAAUCUCAAAAAAAUUGGGCCCAGUUCAGAUUGCAGGCUGCAAACUCGCCUGCAGUGAAGUAGGAAUCGCUGGUAAUGAUGCAUCAGCUACGGCAUCGUGAAUACGUUCCCGGGUCUUGUACACAACCGCCCGUCACAUCAUGGAAAUUGGUAGCGCCCCAAGCACUCAUAUAAUUGAGUUCUAAGGUAUUACUGGUAACUAGGAUGAAGUCGUAACAAGGUAA